GUUAAGUGACGAUAGCCUAGGAGAUACACCUGUUCCCAUGCCGAACACAGAAGUUAAGCCCUAGCACGCCUGAUGUAGUUGGGGGUUGCCCCCUGUUAGAUAUGGUAGUCGCUUAGC
rnacentral:rRNA from 2 species